GAUGAAGAACGCAGCGAAAUGCGAUACGUAGUGUGAAUUGCAGAAUUCAGUGAAUCAUCGAAUCUUUGAACACACAUUGCACCUCUCGGUAUUCCGGGAGGUAUGCCUGUUCGAGCGUCAUUUGUACCCUCAAGCUCUGCUUGGUGUUGGGUGUUUGUUCCGCCUCUGUGUGUGAACUCGCCUCAAAACAAUUGGCAGCCGGCGUACUUGUUUCGGAGCGCAGCACAUUUUGCGAUCCAGAUCAACGUACAGCGGCAUCCAAGAAGCCUUAUUUAACGCUCUUGACCUCGGAUCAGGUAGGGAUACCCGCUGAACUUAAGCAUAUCAAUAAGCGGAGGA
rnacentral:misc_RNA from 1 species